ACAUUUUGCAAAAUGGCGUCUCGUUUAUUCUGAUGGCGGGCUUUGCGCGUUACUAGUAUAUUUGUUGCGCAGUACUCUUAUAUUAUUUACUUCAAGACACGCAUUUUUGUAGUGUUAUAAAUAUUCUUUGAUAACCCCUUUUUGCCACAACCAUAAAAAAAACUAUCGACUUAUUGAAUUGACGAAGAACAAUCUUUGAAGAAGUUUCUUAUGUUUCACCUUGUAAACAGAACAUUUUUGACUUGUGGGAUUCUUUCACUGAAACUGAAUUUAUACACAAAACAAAGAUUUAUUACAUUAUUUAGUGCAUCAGAGAACAUAACAGGAUAUUCCGAAAUAACAGUUAAUCAUGAGUAAUUUCAAAUGCUGUUCGGCGUGUUUAGUGACCGAUGUGAAAUUAUUUUAUUUAUCUACAAAGCCUACAAGUAAAUCUAUAUGCACAUUGGGACAAAUAUUUUCGCGUUUUCUCGGAAUUCCUACUUUUGAGAAAUACAGUUAUGUUUGUUUUGAAUGUGCCAGAUUGGUAUGCAAAUUUCAAGAGUUCAAGUUGAGAUGUCGAAAAGCACAGUUUAUAUUGUCUACAUUGGUGGAGGAUGACCCUGAUAUAACCGAAGAGAUAUU